GACGUAGGGCGCAAGCGUUGUCCGGAAUUAUUGGGCGUAAAGAGCUCGUAGGCGGCUUGUUGCGUCGACUGUGAAAACCCGUGGCUCAACCAUGUGGUCUGCAGUCGAUACGGGCAGGCUAGAAUUCGGUAGGGGAGACUGGAAUUCCUGGUGUAGCGGUGAAAUGCGCAGAUAUCAGGAGGAACACCGGUGGCGAAGGCGGGCCUCUGGGCCGAUACUGACGCUGAGGAGCGAAAGCGUGGGGAGCGAACAGG
rnacentral:rRNA from 1 species